rnacentral:rRNA from 1 species
GGGGGUCUGAUUGCUUAUUGCACCACAUGUGUUUUUCUUUGAAACAAACUUGCUUUGGCGGUGGGCCCAGCCUGCCGCCAGAGGUCUAAACUUACAACCAAUUUUUUAUCAACUUGUCACACCAGAUUAUUACUAAUAGUCAAAACUUUCAACAACGGAUCUCUUGGUUCUCGCAUCGAUGAAGAACGCAGCGAAAUGCGAUACGUAAUAUGAAUUGCAGAUAUUCGUGAAUCAUCGAAUCUUUGAACGCACAUUGCGCCCUCUGGUAUUCCGGAGGGCAUGCCUGUUUGAGCGUCGUUUCUCCCUCAAACCGCUGGGUUUGGUGUUGAGCAAUACGACUUGGGUUUGCUUGAAAGACGGUAGUGGUAAGGCGGGAUCGCUUUGACAAUGGCUUAGGUCUAACCAAAAACAUUGCUUGCGGCGGUAACGUCUACCACGUAUAUCUUCAAACUUUGACCUCAAAUCAGGUAGGACUACCCGCUGAACUUAAGCAUAUCAAUAAGCGGAGGAA